rnacentral:rRNA from 1 species
GAUGAACGCUGGCGGCGUGCCUAAUACAUGCAAGUCGAGCGAACAGACGAGGAGCUUGCUCCUCUGACGUUAGCGGCGGACGGGUGAGUAACACGUGGAUAACCUACCUAUAAGACUGGGAUAACUUCGGGAAACCGGAGCUAAUACCGGAUAAUAUAUUGAACCGCAUGGUUCAAUAGUUAAAGACGGUUUUGCUGUCACUUAUAGAUGGAUCCGCGCCUCAUUAGCUAGUUGGUAAGGUAACGGCUUACCAAGGCAACGAUGCGUAGCCGACCUGAGGGGGUGAUCGGCCACACUGGAACUGAGACACGGUCCAGACUCCUACGGGAGGCAGCAGUAGGGAAUCUUCCGCAAUGGGCGAAAGCCUGACGGAGCAACGCCGCGUGAGUGAUGAAGGUCUUCGGAUCGUAAAACUCUGUUAUUAGGGAAGAACAAAUGUGUAAGUAACUAUGCACGUCUUGACGGUACCUAAUCAGAAAGCCACGGCUAACUACGUG